rnacentral:lncRNA from 1 species
GCAUUAUAAAAAGGACUUUUGGGGUUAUGUUAAAUUAGCCAAGCCAAAGAGAGGUUGGGGAAUUUAGAGAGAAAACAGAGUUAGGGUUCUUGUGAGAGCUAAGGGGGUUGUUGAUUGUAACGAAAGUUGUUCUUACAUACUAGUGAAUUUCUCUGGUGGCUCACCAAAAAGAUGUAGGCAUGAGGUUGAACACUAUAAAUCUUUUGGUUCUUGUUUGUUUGCUUACUCUCUUCAUGAUGUGUGUGUUUUAUUCUCAAGGAGUUUGUGUAUGAUUGGGUUACGUGGUACAUCAACGACAAAGUCAUGUUAAUGUUUACGCAGUCAUUCCAUUAUAUUGCCUUGCUUGGGUUCAUAAGUAUUUGGUCAAUGCUCAGCCAAAUUUCUCUAUGGGGCUGGUAGACGUGAAUUCUUUUGGAACCUGCUUGAAAUGAUGCUGUCUGUUUCUAAUCAAUGUGUGAUUAGGAAUAGAUCCUUUUCUUACGUGCGAUUGAGAGCAAUUUCCUCCAAUAAUGUUCGGUUUUGCUCGUGUCAUUACAUUACAUUUAGACAAUGACCAAAUGCUUAGCGACCAAAUAUUGCCUAGUAAAGUGAUAAUCGAUUUUAACAUGUUUUAUGUUUAGCUAUAUACAAUUGAUUAAGGGUUAAUGACACAAAGAACUUACAUGGCCAAACUCGAGAUAAGCACGUGGUAGAUGCGUAAAUGUAUAGCUCCAAUUAUUAAUUCCGUGCUCACAAAUCAUUCAUCCGAUAUGGUGCUUUCCCAGUUCUGCAAGAAAAAUUUCAAAUAUCUAUCAUAAA